AGACAAACUUCCGUCCCCCAGGAGGUCUGGAAGGGGAAGACUGUUAAACUCCUCAGAGGUGGGUGCGCAUAUAGCAGCCACCUCCUCAGAGCGCUCCUGGUAGGGCUUCAUCAUGUUCAUAUGGAGCAUUCGUCGCCCAACUGACCCUGCACAGGGACCGAUUGUUUAAGUGGUGUCACAUCUCUGUUACAACACUUUAUAAGGUCCUUGCCA